rnacentral:sRNA from 1 species
GGAAAGACGAACAACUAA